UGAAGAUAGGACUCUGAAAACUCUGAAAACAUCACAGACAGUGGGACUCUGGUGUUACACCCAUUGUAGACAGUCAUGACUCACAGGCUGUAUCCGAAUUGCCAAGUACCUACUCAGUCUGUCAGUAGGCAGUACCUACUAUCCGUGCUGUAUACUGUUAGUACCUACUAUUCAGUAUGCACACACAGUAGGCAGAUAUUUGUUCCUACUUCGUCUGAUUCAUUCAGUAUGGAAGUGACGUCAUUUAUGUUACCCGAACCGGCCGCAUCCACCCGUGUUUUUAUUUUUU